AUUGAACGCUGGCGGCAGGCCUAACACAUGCAAGUCGAGCGGAGCGGCGGACGGGGGCGUAAUGCCUAGGAAUCUGCCUGGUAGUGGGGGAUAACGCACGGAAACGGGCGCUAAUACCGCAUACUAGCAGAUGAGCCUAGGUCGGAUUAGCUAGUUGGUGGGGGAACGGCCUACCAAGGCGACGAUCCGUAGCUGGUCUGAGAGGAUGAUUAGUCACACUGGAACUGAGACACGGUCCAGACUCCUACGGGAGGCAGCAGUGGGGAAUAUUGGACAAUGGGCGAAAGCCUGAUCCAGCCAUGCCGCGUGUGUGAAGAAGGUCUUCGGAUUGUAAAGCACUUUAAGUUGGGAGGCGUUACCGACAGAAGAAGCACCGGCUAACUCCGUGCCAGCAGCCGCGGUAAUAC
rnacentral:rRNA from 1 species